rnacentral:miRNA from 1 species
GCUAUGGGGAUCUGGCACUGUGGUUCCUGCAUGAAAACAGUGGCUGGUGGUGUCUGGACCUACAACACCACUUCUGCCGUCACAGUCAAGUCUGC